rnacentral:lncRNA from 1 species
UGAUGGAGUAAAUGAUAGUGAUGAUAAAAAUGUAUAAGUAAUAAUAAAACUUGGUUCUCAUUGCUCCUCAUAUUGCUAUCUCUCCUCUUCUUUGAUCUUUGCUUUGGGAGAACAUGGGCUAUCUUUUUCUCUCUUCUUCUCUCUUUUUCCUCUCAAGUGGGCAUCUUUGUACCCCUAAUUCUACUUCGGACACUUGUCCAUUUUUACCUCUCGUCUCACUCUUUUUCUUUCUUUUUCGAGGUUCCGGGCACUUGCCCCUUUUUAUUUCCUCGUAUAUUUUUGCAUAACCCAUGCCUCUUCUGCAUUGAAUCUUUUUAGAGAGAGAGAAUAACAUUAUUCGGGACAGUGAGUGAUAAUAUUUUUAGCAAUUUUAAUGAAUGAUGAUGAAUGGUGUAGUAGAUGUGUGCAAGUGAAUAUCUUAAUUUAACCACAUGAAAAGUCCUAAGGGUCUACACAGCUCGAUCAAACUCAAUGUAAAUAGUAAAAAAAAUGUUAUAGCAAGUAUGGCUGUGGUAGGUAGUUUUGUUAUGCUAGGAACUCAUCAUGUGACUUGUAAGUUUUCAAAAUAAAUCUCCAGAACUUAGUGUAGUAGGAACAAGAUAAACAGUAGCUCAACUUUAUAUCAUGCCUUUCUCUUACCUAGAUUUUAGUUUUAUGCUUCCCAAAGAUAUUAAUUUCAGUUUUAAUAAUUCCUGGAAGAACUCUAAUAUAAAAGCUAGGUACUUGUAGGUAAGCAAACAGAGCAACGGUUCAUCAUUUCCAUCAUGUAUCUUUUUGGUCUUUUUAUUUUUUUAGAGAUUAAGACUUAGCAGAUAAAUAAAGCAAACUUAUCUACACACUCUUUUUAUUUUGUUUUCAUGUUUAUAAAAUGCAGUAAUUUAAAACAGGAAAAUAUUUAUUGGGUUUUCUAAGUUUUUCCUUUUAAGAUAAAAUACUAAAAUAGAAAAGAAUAAAUACGAAGAGCGAAUAAAAACUUACUUCAUAAAUCGGGAAGGAACUCCCCCAAGCUGGAUGUUGCCGUCGGUCUUACCCGAUGUUCCAGAACCGCAUCAUGGUUGUGAUGUUGUCGUUCAUUGUUGUUGUAUCUUGUCUCAGCUCUUGCACUGCAGCGGCAUGGUCCUGGUUCCAUUUUUGUUGUUCUUCCAGGAGUCUUCCAUGUUCGGCUUGUGUGUUCUGGAUGUCGAGAAGGGUGUUCUCGGUACGAGUGAAUAAAGCACCGGCCUCUUGAUAGUAGUCAUUCGUGAAAGCGUAGGAGGCGUCGGAGUAUCGUCCUGCAUCAAAUUGGGGCGGAGGUCUGGAUCCUGAAGCUCCAUAUGGAUCAGUGGAGUACCUGCCCGUAUGAAAAGGCGGGUUUGUCCACUGGUGAUCUUGGCUCUCCGGCCAUGUCUCCCCUGCUGGCUCUUGUGGUUGCGCAUGACGAACCCAUGGGUCUCGAAGGACUCGAGGGCUGUAAUCGCAAUAAUGCAGGUGUGCUGCUUCUUCUGGUCCGGGAUCAGCUCCAUACCAGGUGCGUUCUCGGUGAGUGGUUAUCCUUUCAGAUGCCACUCGCUGUGGAGUUCUCUGGUUCACUGGUGUUGCUGCAAUCUCAAUCAAAAAGUUUUGAACAACGUAGAGGCCAAGGUUCGGGUUCGGUAACCGAAUCUUGCCUUUAUCAUCAUAUAGCAUAUACAUUAUAUUCCCCUCUUUCUUUAACAUCCGAGCUUGUCUAAAUGUGUCAUAGCCAUGAUAAAUUCUUAAUUCUUCUAUGAAGUCCAACGAUGAAUUUUCUAGUAAGUGAAGAUUAGAGGCUAGACGAGUGAUAAGUGAAGUACAUCCUACUGGUCCUUGAAGACUAGGUAUACUAAGCCAAUGUGAAACUAAUAGUGUAACAGGCGAAGUGGGUACUUUACUAAUAGCAGCAUAUAAAAGUUGUAAAUCUCCUACUCUUACUUUCCUAAUAUCAUCGUGAUAGAAAAGAUUGUACCCAAGCCAUUUGUGGAACAUCCUAAGAGUGGGGUGUUCCAUGUCACUGGUUCGGGCUUGACUAUAAAAAUUAUCUCUAGAUAUUUCUCUCCAAAACUGGUGUCUCUCAAAGUUGGGUAAAUCGGAGUCAAUGUUCAGAAUGCAUCUUGAAGAGAAACCAAGAUGGUCGCUUAGCUCUCUCCAAGACAACAUAAUUUCCUGUUUGAACAUCUGAAAAAUAAUUCCCCCCUCAUAGUAUUGUAAGGUGCAAAGAAAUUCAAGGGUGAGAAGACGAGAACCCAACUUAGUUAUAUUCCAAAAAUUUGUCCAACCCAUCAUCUGAAAAAUUAAGUCGAAUUCAGUGUCCAUACCUGUUUCUUGUAGUAGGAUUGGAUCGAGAGUAGGGGUAUGAAUGAAAUCUUUGUUCUUCAGUUGCUGAUAGACUUCCUUCUCUCUUCGGGUCUUCAGUCCUAGGUCUCCUAUCUUGAGAAGGACCUUAACUUGCUGACCUGAUGAAGAUGAUGGAGCUUGUGUGGGUGUUGGGUCGACGCUCAUCUCUGAUGGCUGUGAGGAGUGUCGGGAUGAACUCCUUGUACCAAUGUUCUUAAGAGCCUUCCCUGCAUUCUUCACCUUCUUAAACAUCCUGUAAACAAAAGUUGGCAAAAACACAACUAGUGGAAGAUGUGAGAGAAAAUGUUAGUGGUCAGCAGUCCGGAGUAUCAGUAGUCCAGGGGUUAAUCGUUCAAAUUUAUAUUUUGGUAGAGCCUCUCCCUAAACAACUUUUACUUCCGCUUGGACAGCGGGAUCACUACUUGCUAGGUGAUAAACACUCUCUCAAAAGAUCUCCAACCUUCCCUUCCACUCUCCUCUUUCUCUCUACUUUCUUCUCUUCACUACAAGAGCUCCUUAUCGGGAAACUGAAACUUGUAUGGUUUUCUGGAGUGUUUGUGUGAAGAGAAGGGGAGCUGGAGUUGGCCUUUUAUAGGAGGAAGAGGGACAGGGCGGGCGCCCUUGGUAGGUGGGCGGGCGGCCACUUGUGAUGCCCAUCCUGGGUGUGCGUCCUCCAUUUGCUUCCUUGCUUUGAUCUCAGGCAGAAUAAUAUUGUGUUGGUGGUGGUUGGACGGUGAAAAGAUGUUGUUAGUGGAGAUAUGUUGGUGGAUGAAAUUAUGUGAUGGGAUGUAUGUGAGGUGAAGUGUAUGACAUGUGGGACCCAAGAAGUGUGGGUCAUGCUUCUAGAAGGUUACUAUAAUUAAAUAUAAUGCAGGAAAAUCUAUGAGAAUUGAAAAUUAAAAUGAUAAUGGAAAAUAUUUUUUUGUACCUCCACAAUAAUUAAUAAAUAUAGGUUGUUACACACCAUGAAUAUUAUUUAUAUGGGGCUUUUGAUUAUUAUAAUAAUGCUAUGAAUAUAUAUGACUAAUGCAAGAAUUAAUUAUGCAAGAAUUUAAAUAUGAGAAAAUUAAUAAUGCGGAUAAAUACCGAUUUACCUCCCGGUGAGGGUUUGGGAUUUUUAGGUCCCCCAAGCUGGACCUCCAAAUCUUUUAAUCUUCUGAGUUACCUUCCUCCAGAGAUGGUGUCUCCAGUGGUUCUUCAUGAACUCCCUUUACUGUAGAGUCUCUCUCUGGUUUGGGUUUGAAUGUGAAAUGUUCUUCUUCACCGUUUAUGUUGAAUUUGAUUUCUCCUUUUCCGACAUCAAUGUGGGCAUUGGCAGUGCUCAGAAAUGGCCUUCCAAGGAUGAUGGAUACUUUUGAGUCAGGACUCAUGUCCAGUACUACAAAGUCUACUGGCACCAGGAAAUCUCUGAUCUUGACUGGAAUGUUCUCGACGAUGCCCAACGGGUGUCGAACCGAUUGAUCCGCUAGUUGCAGGCACAUUGAUGUUGGUUCUAAGGUUGCAUGAUCAAGCUUUUUGUAGACUGAUGCUGGCAUCACACUGACACUUGCUCCGAGAUCACAAAGUGCAUUGUUGAAGUGUUGGUUUCCGAUCGAGCAAUCAAUAGUGGGACAUCCGGGAUCUUCCUUCUUCUUUGGUGGUUUGUUGAGGAUGGCCGCACUACAUUCUUCCGUCAGCUUGAUAACCUCAGUGGUGGGCAGUGGUCUCUUCUUGUUAAGAAUAUCUUUGAUGUACUUUGCAUAUGUAGGUACCUGUAUGGCAUCGAGCAGAGGUAUGUUGACAUAUAAUUUCUGAAUGACCUCUACAAACUUACCAAACUGCUCAUCCGACUGCAGUCCUCUGUUUGUUCUGGGAAAUGGCAAAUAGUUGGUGUCGUAAAAAUCUUUCCUCAUUUCUCCAGUUCUUGGUGGUUGGAGCAGAUCUUCUGCUUCAACUGGGCUUUCUUCUUCUAUCACUGCUGGUUGCACUGGUGCUGAUGUUCUUUGUUUCUCUUUUGGGUAUGGGGGAUCUCUGGUUGCUUUGCCUCCUCUAGUAGUUAUAUUCUUUACCUGCUCAAGGUUAGUAGCAACAGGCAGUACAGCAGCUAACUUUAUUAAUUUAAGCUCUACCCUUUUAUUAAGAGUGUUUUGCUCAUCAAAGGCAGUUAGUAGAAAAUCCAUUUUAUUGUGUAUAUCUUUUAGAGAUGAUUCAUUUGUAUCUAGCCUUUGUUUAACUUCAUCAUUAAUUUUGGUUUGUUGAGCAAUUAUCUCUUUUAAUGAAAGUUCCUUGAAAGUAUUACCUCAAUUCAUACCUUUGCUAUUGGGUUGACUUGAAGUUGGUUGAUAUUUGUAUGCUGUCUCAAUGGCCCUUUGAUCUUCUUUGAACUUGGCCCUCUGGUCAAUCCAAUGGAGCAAAUUUUCCAUCUUAGUUGAUAAUGCAUUUACUUCUUCUGGUAUUUCUUCAGUUUGAUGACAUUGUUGAGCUUUAUCUUGGAACUAGCUUUGGUUUUCUGCUAUCUUAUCCAAAAGUAUCUCUGCUUUUCCAAUUGUAAGCUCCAAAAAUGAUCCUUUAGCAGAUGCAUCUAGGCACUCACGAGCCUUCUGGGUUAAUCCAUGGUAGAAGGUCUGCAUAAGUAACCAUGUAGCCAUUCCAUGGUGAGGACAAUCUGAUGUGUAUCCUUGAAAAUGCUCCCAUGCUUCUGAAAUGGCUUCUGUCUUCAGCUGUUGGAAACUGACAAUAUUUCCUCUUAAGGCAGUUGUUUUGCCUAUAGGGAAAAACUUUGAUAGAAAGGCAUCUGACAAGUUCGUCCAGUUGUUGAUGUUAUCUUGAUGAGUGUAGAACCACUUCCUCUCUUUUCCUUCUAGUGAGAAUGGAAAAAGGCGAAGCAGUAUGACGUCUUUGUCAACUCCGUUGAUGUGGAUUGUGCUUCCAAUCUCUAAGAAAUUCUGCAAGUGUGCACUAGCAUCUUCAUGUGCCUUUCCACUGAAUUGUGUAGCUUGUACCAAAUUGAUGAGGCUUGACCUGAGCUCAAACUCAGGUAUUCCUUCUUCUACUGCAAAUCUUGGACCAGUUGGAAUGUUCUCAAGGCUUGGAGCAGAGAAUUCUUGCAAGGUCUUUUGUGACAUAGCUUCAGCAAUUGGUAGCUAGCUUCUUCUUCUCUUGAUUGCUUUGGUUCUGAUGAUGAAGAGUUGAAUGUACCCAAAGUCAAUCCUGAUAUACCCUAUAUAAAAAUAUAAACAUAGAAAAACAACAGGGUGAACCUGCCAAAGCAGAGGUGCCUUGUUAUGAUUUCUCACUUAGUAGCUGUUUUUAUGCAAUUAUUUCUCUAUAGUCUAGUCUAAUAUUUUAUAUGAAUAACCUUGACUGAUUUUCUGGCUUUCCUAAGUAUUACCCUUUUGUUCCCCUUUAUGACUUAUUCAUGAGAAUCGUAUAAAUCCCCGGCAACGGCGCCAGAAAUGCUUGUUGACACUAGCUAACACCACUUAGAUACUAGGUUGUCAUCCCCAGCAUGGUGCCAGAGUGUACAAAGGUAUUUAUAAAUGUAAAGGGCUCUCUAGAAAAUAAUCUAUUCUAUCCGCAAGCGCACAGAUAAAACACCUCAUUGUAGCAUUUCACCACGAUAAGUAUUCCAGGUAUCGUUAUUUAUAAUUUUGCUCAAGGGAUCUAAAGAAGAUGAAAUUAAAUCAAGGGGCAAAAUCUAUCAAGGCAUAGACUAGAGAUAAACUUGCAAGAACAUGAUUACUAAUGAGAAACUCGUCACACAGUCACUUACUUUUAGCAGGGGGUAAACCAUAAAGAUAAUGAUAAUAAAGUAUAAGUUCAUGGGUAGAUGACACAGCGAUUAGAAAAUAGACUACUCCUCAUAUGUAGGUGAUGUCGGAUUAGCUAGAGAAUGGAUUCUAAGUUAUCUACUAACUACUAAGUCAUAAUCUACUCUAGUUAUCUACAAGAUCAUAUAUAGCAUAAAAGACUCUUCAUUCAUGUAUAAGGAAUAUUGAUAAAGUAAAUCAGAGCAUCGCAUGACUUACUCCACAAUACCGGUUCUGCAUGUCCUAUCAACGGAGGGUGGACUAUAUAAGAAUCAACGAAGCUGUCACUAUCGCGAACUACCACACGACCCGGCUAAUAGGAUACAUUUGCAGAUAAAUAACAUCUAAGCACCACGCUCACAUGUGAUCUAUCACCUAACUCCCUCGCAUCAAGAGCUAAGCGCUUUGCAAACUUAUACAUAAACUCAUUAUCAAUUAGAAUUAUAUCAAAUAUAGAACUAGAGCAAACUAAGAACAUAAUAAUUAGAGACAUAAUGCAAUUAGAACAAAGAAUUAGAGAAAGAUAUGAAUAAUACCAAUCUUUAUUACCGAAGAUCCGAAUCCACAACGUAGUGCUCUACUUCUCUAAUUGCUAUCUAAUCAAACCUCUAAACUUGAAGGAUUAGGGAGUAGCUAAUUCUAAUUCUCUGUGGGAGAGAAACUCAAAACCCUAACUUUGAUGGCUACCUCUGAAUAAUGAUUUCUCCUCUUCUCCUCCAGGGGCCAGGGGGUCUGGUUUUAUAGUCCCCUCAAGUGAACGUGAGCCAUUGGAUCAAACCGACAUAGAUUGUAUGGUUUUGAUUGAUCCUUUAGGCCGGUGGAGCGUAGUCUUGAAGCAGAGUCCUGAUUGGACUCCUGACCUGGGCGGGCGCCCAAGGGGGGUGGGCGGCCACCCUGCCCUCGAGCCCGAUCGUGCUCUCGUUCAUUCCCGUGGCUUCUGGAUUCUUCUAGAUUGAGGAAAAUUGCGCGGCACGUAAUUAUCUCGCUGUAAACAUGACAUGUGGGCCUUCUCUCCAUAUUAUCUGAUAACCCCCUGCAGAAAUAGAUAAACACCAAAGCUCGUGGAAUUCUGUCAGAUAAAACCCUAAUUCUAGAUGUUUGUUUCAUAUUGAUCCUUUUUCAUGUUUAUUUGAUUAUUAAUUUUAGUACUUAAGGACCGUCAACAAACUCCCCCAAGCUUACCCUUUGCUCGUCCCUGAGCAAACAGCUAAACUCAGACGGAUCAGGAGUUGCUUCGAUGUUUUCUUUCCUGACAGGCACACAUGCUUUUAUACAAAAUUCUUCCAGAUUAGAGUGAAGUGUUAUGGAGUUUAGUACCUGCACUUAAAUCUUAAGUAAUCGAAAGACAAAAUAGUUAAGUCAAGCACUAUCCCUCCUGUUUAUACUUCACCUUUGUUCCAGAGUUUUUCAUAAGUUUUCAAAAUAAAACUCAGAGUUCCCAGUAAUAAUCUCUCAAAUCUCUCUAUAUGUGGUAUUUGUGGAUCCUUACCAUAAUGUCACUUACCUAUAGCUAAUGGAAUAUUUAUGUGGAGCUUAUAGGAGUGAAAACAGCUCAUACAUAUGUUGUCUAAUCGAGCCAUGGAUCCAAAGGAACUCAACAUAUAAUUAAAUCAAGAUGUGCAUGUGUGAUGGAGUAAAUGAUAGUGAUGAUUAAAAUGUAUAAGUAAUAAUAAAACUUGGUUCUCAUUGCUCCUCAUAUUGCUAUCUCUCCUCUUCUUUGAUCUUUGCUUUGGGAGAACAUGGGCUAUCUUUUUCUCUCUUCUUCUCUCUUUUUUUUCAGGUGGGUAGUAGAUACCCCUAAUUCUACUGUCGGACACUUGUCCAUUUUUUCCUCUCAAGUGGGCAUCUUUGUACCCCUAAUUCUACUUCGGACACUUGUCCAUUUUUACCUCUCGUCUCACUCUUUUUCUUUCUUUUUCGAGGUUCCGGGCACUUGCCCCUUUUUAUUUCCUCGUAUAUUUUUGCAUAACCCAUGCCUCUUCUACAUUGAAUCUUUUUAGAGAGAGAGAAUAACAAUAUUCGGGACAGUGAGUGAUAAUAUUUUUAGCAAUUUUAAUGAAUGAUGAUGAAUGGUGUAGUAGAUGUGUGCAAGUGAAUAUCUUAAUUUAACCACAUGAAAAGCUCCUAAG